UACAGAGGUGGCAAGCGUUGUUCGGAUUUAUUGGGCGUAAAGGGUCCGUAGGCGGUUUGAAAAGUCAGAUGUGAAAGCCCACAGCUCAACUGUGGAACUGCAUUUGAAACUUUCAGACUAGAGUAUGAGAGGGGUUAAGGGAAUUCCCGGUGUAAGGGUGAAAUCUGCAGAGAUCGGGAGGAACACCAGUCGCGAAGGCGCUUAACUGGCUCAUUACUGACGCUCAGGGACGAAAGCUAGGGGAGCAAACGGG
rnacentral:rRNA from 1 species